rnacentral:rRNA from 1 species
CCUACGGGUGGCAGCAGUGAGGAAUAUUGGUCAAUGGGCGCGAGCCUGAACCAGCUAAGUAGCGUGAAGGAUGACUGCCCUACGGUUUGUAAACUUUUUUUAUAAAGAAGUAAAGUGAGGCACGUUUGCAUUUUUUUCUGUACUUUAUGAAUAAGGAUCGGCUAACUCCGUGCCAGCAGCCGCGGUAAUACGGAGGAUCCGAGCGUUAUCCGGAUUUAUGUGGUUUAAAGGGAGCGUAGAUGGGUUGUUAAGACAGUUGUGAAAGUUUGCGGCUCAACAGUAAAAUUGCAUUUGAUACUGGCAGUCUUGAGUACAGGUGAGGUAGGCGGAAUUCGAGGUGUAGCGGUGAAAUGCUGAGAUAUCAAGAAGAAUGCCGAUUGCGAAGGCAGCCUACUAAA